rnacentral:tRNA from 1 species
UAACGGUUAGUCUAAUACAAGACCACUAGUUUCGACCUAGUAAAUCUCAAACCCUCUGAGACCGCUAA